rnacentral:rRNA from 1 species
AGUAUGUGGUUUAAUUCGAAGCAACGCGAGAACUUACCAGGGCUUGACAUCCCUUGAAGCAGCUAGAGAUAGCUGUGUCCUUCGGGACAAGGAGACAGGUGGUGCAUGGUUGUCGUCAGCUCGUGUCGUGAGAUGUUGGGUUAAGUCCCGCAACGAGCGCAACCCCUGUGGUUAGUUGCCAGCAAGUAGCGUUGGGCACUCUAGCCAGACUGCCGGUGAUAAAUCGGAGGAAGGUGGGGACGACGUCAAAUCAUCAUGCCCUUUAUGUCCUGGGCUACACACGUACUACAAUGGCCGUUACAACGGGAAGCGAAGGAGCAAUCCGGAGCAAAUCCCUUAAAGGCGGUCCCAGUUCAGAUUGUGGGCUGAAACUCGCCCACAUGAAGGCGGAAUUGCUAGUAAUCGCGGAUCAGCACGCCGCGGUGAAUACGUUCCCGGGCCUU